AACAGGAUUAGAUACCCUGGUAGUCCACGCCGUAAACGAUGUCGACUUGGAGGCUGUGAGCAUGACUCGUGGCUUCCGGAGCUAACGCGUUAAGUCGACCGCCUGGGGAGUACGGCCGCAAGGUUAAAACUCAAAUGAAUUGACGGGGGCCCGCACAAGCGGUGGAGCAUGUGGUUUAAUUCGAUGCAACGCGAAGAACCUUACCUGCUCUUGACAUCCACGGAAUUCGGCAGAGAUGCCUUAGUGCCUUCGGGAACCGUGAGACAGGUGCUGCAUGGCUGUCGUCAGCUCGUGUUGUGAAAUGUUGGGUUAAGUCCCGCAACGAGCGCAACCCUUAUCCUUUGUUGCCAGCGAUUCGGUCGGGAACUCAAAGGAGACUGCCGGUGAUAAACCGGAGGAAGGUGGGGAUGACGUCAAGUCAUCAUGGCCCUUACGAGCAGGGCUACACACGUGCUACAAUGGCGCAUACAAAGAGAAGCGACCUCGCGAGAGCAAGCGGACCUCACAAAGUGCGUCGUAGUCCGGAUCGGAGUCUGCAACUCGACUCCGUGAAGUCGGAAUCGCUAGUAAUCGUGGAUCAGAAUGCCACGGUGAAUACGUUCCCGGGCCUUGUACACACCGCCCGUCACACCAUGGGAGUGGGUUGCAAAAGAAGUAGGUAGCUUAACCUUCGGGAGGGCGCUUACCACUUUGUGAUUCAUGACUGGGGUGAAGUCGUAACAAGGUAACC
rnacentral:rRNA from 1 species